rnacentral:rRNA from 1 species
UAAUACGUAGGGGGCAAGCGUUGUCCGGAUUUACUGGGUGUAAAGGGCGCGUAGGCGGGUUUGUAAGUCAGUGGUGAAAUCCUGCGGCUUAACCGUAGAACUGCCAUUGAUACUGCAAAUCUUGAGUUUGGAAGAGAGAAGCGGAAUUCCAGGUGUAGUGGUGAAAUACGUAGAUAUCUGGAAGAACAUCAGUGGCGAAGGCGGCUUCUUGGUCCAUAACUGACGCUGAGGCGCGAAAGCGUGGGGAUCAAACAGGAUUAGAUACCCUGGUAGUCCACGCUGUAAACGAUGAAUACUAGGUGUUGGAUGCAUUAGCAUCCAGUGCCGCAGCUAACGCAUUAAGUAUUCCACCUGGGGAGUACGAUCGCAAGGUUGAAACUUAAAUGAAUUGACGG